AAUGCGAAAAGUUAUGAGUUGAAGAGUGAAAUUGAGAAGUUUCGAGGUGUUUGUCGAUCUAUAAUAUAUAGAGUUCAACACAUUGUGGAUAAGGGACGCGAAUCUAUGGCCUUCGAUUUCCAAGCGUUGGGAACGAGACACGAGAAUCUAUGUCUUUUGUUUACCAACCGUUGGAGAGGGGAGACGUGAAUCUACGUCUUCAGUUUUAUUCCGUCGCGCGGUGUUUACUUCUCGAUUCUCUCCGGUGACGCCGAGGCUUACGGUCGUGCGACGAACUUUUAUAAAGAAAGCGUGAUUCGAUGAAAGAGCAUGCGAUCCUGAAAUUUUGUGAGAUAUACGUGUGUGUGUGUGUGUGUGUGUAUACGAAUGCAUAAAUGAAGCAUUGUUUUGGAAAAAAUUAAUGUCGUUUCAUUUGGUAAAUUCAUUCCAGACAAACGUUUGUUAAUGGUGUGUGGCGAGGGGA